rnacentral:rRNA from 1 species
UACGGGGGGAGCAAGCGUUGUUCGGAUUUACUGGGCGUAAAGGGCGCGUAGGCGGCGUGACAAGUCACUUGUGAAAUCUCCGGGCUUAACCCGGAGCGGCCAAGUGAUACUGUCGUGCUAGAGUGCGGAAUGGGCUACUGGAAUUCUCGGUGUAGCGGUGAAAUGCGUAGAUAUCGAGAGGAACACCUGCGGCGAAGGCGGGUAGCUGGGCCGACACUGACGCUGAGGCGCGAAAGCCAGGGGAGCGAACGGG